rnacentral:rRNA from 1 species
ACGGGGUGCAGCAGGCGCGAAACGUCCCGCAAUGCCCGCAAGGGUGACGGCGGAAUUCGGAGUGAUUUCUCCGUUAGGAGGAAUCUUUUGCCAAGUCUAGACAGCUUGGUGAAUAAGUGGUGGGUAAGACGGGUGCCAGCCGCCGCGGUAAUACCCGCGCCACUAGUGAUAACCAUUAUUACUGGGUUUAAAGCGUUCGUAGCCUGUCUUGAAAGUUCUCGAUGAAAUCCCGUAGCUAACUGCGGGGCUUGUCGAGGAUACUGCAAGACUAGGGACCGGGAGAGGCCAAAAGUAUUCCUGGGGUAGGAGUAAAAUCCUAUAAUCCCAGGAGGACUACCUGUGGCGAAGGCGUUUGGCUAGAACGGAUCCGACGGUGAGGGACGAAAGCUAGGGGAGCAAAGCGGAUUAGAUACCCGCGUAGUCCCAGCUGUAAACGAUGCCCAUUAGACAUUGGCAGCCCCACGAGGACUGCCAGAGUCGUAGGGAAACCGUUAAAUGGGCCACCUGGGAGUACGUCGCAAGGC